AUUGAACGCUGGCGGCAGGCCUAACACAUGCAAGUCGAGCGGAUGACGGGAGCUUGCUCCUUGAUUCAGCGGCGGACGGGUGAGUAAUGCCUAGGAAUCUGCCUGGUAGUGGGGGACAACGUUUCGAAAGGAACGCUAAUACCGCAUACGUCCUACGGGAGAAAGCAGGGGACCUUCGGGCCUUGCGCUAUCAGAUGAGCCUAGGUCGGAUUAGCUAGUAGGUGAGGUAAUGGCUCACCUAGGCGACGAUCCGUAACUGGUCUGAGAGGAUGAUCAGUCACACUGGAACUGAGACACGGUCCAGACUCCUACGGGAGGCAGCAGUGGGGAAUAUUGGACAAUGGGCGAAAGCCUGAUCCAGCCAUGCCGCGUGUGUGAAGAAGGUCUUCGGAUUGUAAAGCACUUUAAGUUGGGAGGAAGGGUUGUACGUUAAUACCGUGCAAUUUUGGCGUUACCGACAGAAUAAGCACCGGCUAACUCUGUGCCAGCAGCCGCGGUAAGAC
rnacentral:rRNA from 1 species